rnacentral:rRNA from 1 species
ACCAUACCAAACUGUUGCCUCGGCGGGGUCACGCCCCGGGUGCGUCGCAGCCCCGGAACCAGGCGCCCGCCGGAGGGACCAACCAAACUCUUUUCUGUAGUCCCCUCGCGGACGUUAUUUCUUACAGCUCUGAGCAAAAAUUCAAAAUGAAUCAAAACUUUCAACAACGGAUCUCUUGGUUCUGGCAUCGAUGAAGAACGCAGCGAAAUGCGAUAAGUAAUGUGAAUUGCAGAAUUCAGUGAAUCAUCGAAUCUUUGAACGCACAUUGCGCCCGCCAGUAUUCUGGCGGGCAUGCCUGUCCGAGCGUCAUUUCAACCCUCGAACCCCUCCGGGGGGUCGGCGUUGGGGAUCGGGAACCCCUAAGACGGGAUCCCGGCCCCGAAAUACAGUGGCGGUCUCGCCGCAGCCUCUCCUGCGCAGUAGUUUGCACAACUCGCACCGGGAGCGCGGCGCGUCCACGUCCGUAAAACACCCAACUUCUGAAAUGUUGACCUCGGAUCAGGUAGGAAUACCCGCUGAACUUAAGCAUA